AGCGAACGCUGGCGGCAGGCUUAACACAUGCCAGUCGAACGGGCAUCUUCGGAUGUCAGUGGCAGACGGGUGAGUAACACGUGGGAACGUACCCUUCGGUUCGGAAUAACUCAGGGAAACUUGAGCUAAUACCGGAUACGCCCUUUUGGGGAAAGGUUUACUGCCGAAGGAUCGGCCCGCGUCUGAUUAGCUUGUUGGUGGGGUAACGGCCUACCAAGGCGACGAUCAGUAGCUGGUCUGAGAGGAUGAUCAGCCACACUGGGACUGAGACACGGCCCAGACUCCUACGGGAGGCAGCAGUGGGGAAUAUUGGACAAUGGGCGCAAGCCUGAUCCAGCCAUGCCGCGUGAGUGACGAAGGCCUUAGGGUUGUAAAGCUCUUUUGUCCGGGACGAUAAUGACGGUACCGGAAGAAUAAGCCCCGGCUAACUUCGUG
rnacentral:rRNA from 1 species